GGGGGCAGGGGAACGAGUGGACUUUAAGGGAUCGUUUCGUUCUAAAAGGUUAACGUGUUACCAGAGUCUCCUCACGAGGAAGCUGAAGUGCUGAGGUCUGGUGGUGGUGAGCAUUUUGCUUGAACAGCCAAACUCUUCACAACGUGUCGACAUGGAUCUCCAAAUACACCAUUGGAAAUGCCAAUGCUGCAACUAGUUCUUCCUAUACAAGCCUGAGAUACAACAGACAAGGAAUUUGCAGCAUGGCAUUUUCCUUGUGAGAACUUUUGACAGCUGCCAUUCGGACUUCCAUAG
rnacentral:misc_RNA from 1 species